rnacentral:misc_RNA from 1 species
CAGUAAUCCCAUUUUAUCUUUAAUUUGCCAAAAAACUUCCCUACGAUGAUUCAGGAGUAGCUCAUGAUAACACUGCAUUGUCACGCGCCACACUAGCCAAACCAAUUCGCUCAACCCCAUCAUGAACCUCUCCUUCCCCACUCCUCUCCUCCACCCAAACCGGUGGUGGCGACGCCAUCUGCGUCUCAGAACCACCCUCUCCUCUGAACUUUCUGGCGCGGUGGGUGACUUGGGCACCUUCAUCCCUAUAGUCCUUACUCUCACUUUGAUUUCCCACCUUGACCUUUCCACCACCCUAAUCUUCACCUCCCUUUACAACAUUUCCACUGGCCUCCUCUUCGGUGUUCCCAUGCCGGUUCAGCCCAUGAAGUCCAUCGCUGCUGUUGCCGUCUCCGAGCUCCCCCAUCUCACCACGGCCCAGAUCGCCACCGCAGGAGCAACCACAGCCGCCACUCUCCUUAUCCUCGGUGCCACUGGCCUUAUGUCCUUCUUCUACCGUUUCAUCCCUCUCCCUGUUGUCCGCGGAGUUCAGCUUUCCCAGGGCCUUUCAUUCGCCUUCUCCGCCAUCAAGUACAUCCGAUACGAUCAAGAUUUUGUCAGUUCAAAAUCUACCACUCCUCGGUCUUGGCUUGGUCUUGAUGGUCUUAUUCUUGCUAUUUCUGCUCUUCUUUUUCUAGUUCUCACCACCGGCUCUGGUGGUGAUAAUCACACAAUCGACGAAAAUGAUAACAAUUCGAUGACCCGCUCUCAGCGACGGGUGAGUAAAAGAUUGCGGUUUUUGUCAGCAAUUCCUUCUGCUCUUAUAGUGUUCUUUUUUGGGUUGGUUUUAUGUUUCAUUCGCGAUCCUUCCAUCAUUAAUGAUUUUAAAUUUGGUCCAUCAAGAAUCCGGCUGCUGAAAAUUACAUGGGAAGAUUGGA